rnacentral:rRNA from 1 species
UACGAAGGGGGCUAGCGUUGUUCGGAAUUACUGGGCGUAAAGCGCACGUAGGCGGAUAUUUAAGUCAGGGGUGAAAUCCCAGAGCUCAACUCUGGAACUGCCUUUGAUACUGGGUAUCUCGAGUAUGGGAGAGGGAUGUAGAAUUCCAGGUGUAGCGGUGAAAUGCGUAGAUAUCUGGAGGAAUACCGGUGGCGAAGGCGGCAUCCUGGACCAUAACUGACGCUGAGGCGCGAAAGCUAGGGGAGCAAACGGG